CUAUCAAUGACAAUGAAGAAAUAUUAACUUCUGUGACUUCUGAUUUGCCUCACUUCUCCGAGACUGCAGCUCAAGAUGACCAGGGGAAUGAUGCCUGUGUGACUUCUGGUUCACCUCCUGUCCCUGACUCAGUUACUAAAGGUUUAUGUGUUUCAUCAAGGCGGUGUGUGAAGAGACCAUGGUCUGAGGAGGAGAUAGGAGCGGUGAUGAAACAUAUGAAGCCUUUUAUUGAAAACGGUAUCACUGUCACCAACCAGCAGUGUCUGAAGUGCAAAGAAAAGGAACAACCUAUCUUGGAGACGAGAUCUAUUCAAAACAUUCGAGAUUUUGUGCGCAACAGAGGACUGGCCUUUAAAAAAAAUAAAUAAAUGUUAAACACUAAAUGCACUUUUUGACAGUCUGAGCCUUUACCUUUCUGGGCCUGAUUUCAAGGUUAGUGUUCUCCAUUCAAAAAGUAUGUAGUUGACUUCACUGUGCUCACAGGCAGUGUUUUGUUUUGAUGUGUGGUUAGCCUGAGUCUUUUAAUGCCAGGAUUCACUUUUAUUUUCCUUCAAUAAUUGUUACA